rnacentral:misc_RNA from 1 species
CUCUUCACUGUCUCUCCCGUCAAUUCAUUUUGUCGGGCAGGGAUGUUUGUUGCCGGUUGCCUGCGUUGUUCUACCCAUGCGUGGUAGGCAUCAAAAUUGACCCGUAUCGGAUUUUUGGCUGUCUCGCCGAUAGUUUUCUGUCGGCAAGCAGCCGGGGCUUUGACAUAAUCCUUUUGCUGCCAUGGUGCAAUGCCGUGGCGUCGCAUCAGGAUGUUUGUCGGUUCUCACGGAUGUGGUGCCUAGUGCGAGCUGUGCGACCGUUUGGUCCUACGCUUUGCGAGGCCUCCCAUGCACGCGUCACUGCUCUUGCGCUCAACGCAAUGCGAUUGUUGCGCACGUGACGUGAUCGCGGGCGUGUGGAAGUGCUCUCUUAAUCGGAUGACCCAUGAUUGUCGGUUCACGUUGUUCAC